rnacentral:rRNA from 1 species
UACGAAGGGGCUAGCGUUGCUCGAAAUCACUGGGCGUAAAGGGUGCGUAGGCGGGUCUUUAAGUCAGGGGUGAAAUCCUGGAGCUCAACUCCAGAACUGCCUUUGAUACUGAGGAUCUUGAGUUCGGGAGAGGGUGAGUGGAACUGCGAGUGUAGAGGUGAAAUUCGUAGAUAUUCGCAAGAACACCCAGUGGCGAAGGCGGCUCACUGGCCCGAUACGUGAC